rnacentral:rRNA from 1 species
UGAGGGAUUUUGCGCAAUGGAGGAAACUCUGACGCAGCGACGCCGCGUGCGGGACGAAGCCUUUCGGGGUGUAAACCGCUGUCAGUGGGGAAGAGAAUGGACGGUACCCACUGAGGAAGCCUCGGCUAACUACGUGCCAGCAGCCGCGGUAAGACGUAGGGGGCGAGCGUUGUCCGGAAUCACUGGGCGUAAAGAGCUCGUAGGCGGGACUGUUAGUCCUGGAGUAAAUCCAACUGCUUAACGGUUGGUUCUUCCGGGAAACGGCAGUUCUUGAGGACAGGAGAGGAAAGCGGAAUUCCGAGUGUAGCGGUGAAAUGCGUAGAGAUUCGGAGGAACACCAGUGGCGAAGGCGGCUUUCUGGCCUGAUUCUGACGCUGAGGAGCGAAAGCGUGGGGAGCAAACAG